rnacentral:ncRNA from 1 species
AGGAGCCGGAUGAGGUGAAAGUCUCAUGUCCGGUUUUGAAGACCAGCCGGGUGGGCGACUGCCCGGCUGAGUUUAAU